rnacentral:lncRNA from 1 species
UCUGGCAAGGUGAAGAGCUGGUCUGUUUGGCAGGACCUUCCCAUCUGGGAUCCAUCUGUGUUUCCCUGGAAUGGGACAGGCAGCUCUAGUCAGUGAGAAAUCGCAGAUGUGAGAGAGCUGACACAUGUCCAGCUAAUGAAAGGAGGAGGAAGGCUGGUCUCCGAUUGAGCUUUGAAGAUUAGGAGGAGAAAAAGAGGAGCUUUGGAAUAUCUAUUUCAAAUAAAUUUGGUGUAUUUAAGAAUCUGGAUUGUUUAUAAUUUGGGCAUUUGGG